rnacentral:lncRNA from 1 species
ACCAGAUUCACACACACUCUCCUGUACCCCUUAAUCGAAUCCUUUCAAAAAUAUUCUCAUUGAUAUCCUUCAGGAAUCUUGGAGAGAAGAAUAAAGGGGAGUGUCAAAAGGGCCUUGAGAAACAUCUGCCUGAAUAAGGAGGAGAACUGAGGAAGCCAAAAGGGAAUGGAGUUGAGCACAUUGAUUCUUUUGGGAAAAUUCCAAAGAAGAGGUCAGUAGAAGGCUAAGAUACAUCAUCCCCUGUGCAGGAUCCCUGUUUAUCUGGUUAUUUAGACAUGGAGGAGCACUCAGCCAUUCUCUCUUCCCCCAUAUAUUCUGAGCUGCUAAUGAAUGUGUAAGAGGGGAGAGAGGUCCAGAAAUUUACCCAAAGGCCACUCUGAGGAUCAGUUGGCAGAAAAGUGGUCACGAAACACAAGCCACAGACUGCUGAAUCCAGUUCCAAAAGAAAGAAAAGAUCCCUGCUCAUCCCUCCAGAACAACAGCUUUCCAUUCUGAGGGCUGCUAAUGGAUGUCUGAGAGGGGAGAGGGGUCCAGAAAUUUGCCCAAAGGCCAUUCUGAGGAUCGGUUGGCAGAAAAGUGGUCACAACACACAAGCCACAGACUGCUGCAUCCAGUCCCAAAAGAAAGAAAAGAUCCCUGCUCAUCCCUACAGAACAACGGCUUUCCUUUCUGAGGGCUGCUAAUGGAUGUCUGAGAGGGGAGAGGGGUCCAGAAAUUUGCCCAAAGCCCAUUCUGAGGAUCGGUUGGCAGAAAAGUGGUCACAACACACAAGCCACAGACUGCUGCAUCCAGUCCCAAAAGAAAGAAAGGAUCCCUGCUCAUCCCUACAGAACAACAGCUUUCCAUUUGAGGGCUGCUAAUGGAUGUCUGAGAGGGAAGAGGGGUCCAGAAAUUUGCCCAAAGCCCAUUCUGAGGAUCGGUUGGCAGAAAAGUGGUCACAACACACAAGCCACAGACUGCUGCAUCCAGUCCCAAAAGAAAGAAAGGAUCCCUGCUCAUCCCUCCGGAACAACAGCUUUUUCCAUUCUGAGGGCUGCUAAUGGAUGUCUGAGAGGGAAGAGGGGUCCAGAAAUUUGCCCAAAGGCCAUUCUGAGGAUCGGUUGGCAGAAAAGUGGUCACAACACACAAGCCACAGACUGCUGCAUCCAGUCCCAAAAGAAAGAAAGGAUCCCGGCUCAUCCCUACAGAACAACAGCUUUUUCCAUUCUGAGGAAUAGGAGGAGAGAUUUAGAGGCCCAAGGCAAAGGAGUUCAGCAUGUUGAUUCCUUUGGAAAAAUUCCAAAGAGGAGGGCUGCUAAUGGAUGUCUGAGAGGGGAGAGGGGUCCAGAAAUUUGCCCAAAGGCCAUUCUGACGAUUGGUUGGCAGAAAAGUGGUCACAACACACAAGCCACAGACUGCUGCAUCCAGUCCCAUAAGAAAGAAAGGAUCCCUGCUCAUCCCUCCGGAACAACAGCUUUUUCCAUUCUGAGGAAUCUUGUAGAGAAGGCUAAAGGGGAGUGUCAAAAGGACUUUGAGAAACAUCUGCCUGAAUUAUGAGAAGAGAUUAAGAGGCCAAAUGUAAAGGAAUCGAGCAGCUUGAUUCCUUUGGAAAAAUCCCAAAGAAGAG